UGGCGAACGGGUGAGUAACACGUGGGUAACCUGCCCAUCAGAAGGGGAUAACACUUGGAAACAGGUGCUAAUACCGUAUAACACUAUUUUCCGCAUGGAAGAAAGUUGAAAGGCGCUUUUGCGUCACUGAUGGAUGGACCCGCGGUGCAUUAGCUAGUUGGUGAGGUAACGGCUCACCAAGGCAACGAUGCAUAGCCGACCUGAGAGGGUGAUCGGCCACACUGGGACUGAGACACGGCCCAGACUCCUACGGGAGGCAGCAGUAGGGAAUCUUCGGCAAUGGACGAAAGUCUGACCGAGCAACGCCGCGUGAGUGAAGAAGGUUUUCGGAUCGUAAAACUCUGUUGUUAGAGAAGAACAAGGAUGAGAGUAGAACGUUCAU
rnacentral:rRNA from 1 species